CCUACGGGAGGCAGCAGUGGGGAAUAUUGCACAAUGGGGGAAACCCUGAUGCAGCGACGCCGCGUGAGUGACGAAGUAAUUCGUUAUGUAAAGCUCUAUCAGCCGGGAAGAAAAUGACGGUACCUUAGUAAGAAGCCACGGCUAACUACGUGCCAGCCGCCGCGGUAAUACGUAGGGGGCAAGCGUUAUCCGGAUUUACUGGGUGUAAAGGGAGUGUAGACGGGAGUGCAAGUCUGGAGUGAAAGGCGGGGGCUCAAACGCCGGACUGCUCUGGAAACUGUACGGCUGGAGUGCAGAAGCGGUAAGUGGAAUUCGUGGUGUAGCGGUGAAAUGCGUAGAUAUUAGGAGGAACACCAGUGGCGAAGGCAGCUUACUGGACUGUAACUGACGUUGAGGCUCGAAAGCGUGGGGAGCAAACAGGAUUAGAUACCCGGGUAGUC
rnacentral:rRNA from 1 species